rnacentral:rRNA from 1 species
AAAUUGAAGAGUUUGAUCAUGGCUCAGAUUGAACGCUGGCGGCAGGCCUAACACAUGCAAGUCGAACGGUAACAGGAAACAGCUUGCUGUUUCGCUGACGAGUGGCGGACGGGUGAGUAAUGUCUGGGAAACUGCCUGAUGGAGGGGGAUAACUACUGGAAACGGUAGCUAAUACCGCAUAAUGUCGCAAGACUAAAGAGGGGGACCUUCGGGCCUCUUGCCAUCGGAUGUGCCCAGAUGGGAUUAGCUAGUAGGUGGGGUAACGGCUCACCUAGGCGACGAUCCCUAGCUGGUCUGAGAGGAUGACCAGCCACACUGGAACUGAGACACGGUCCAGACUCCUACGGGAGGCAGCAGUGGGGAAUAUUGCACAAUGGGCGCAAGCCUGAUGCAGCCAUGCCGCGUGUAUGAAAAAGGCCUUCGGGUUGUAAAGUACUUUCAGCGGGGAGGAAGGGAGUAAAGUUAAUACCUUUACUCAUUGACGUUACCCGCAGAAGAAGCACCGGCUAACUCCGUGCCAGCAGCCGCGGUAAUACGGAGGGUGCAAGCGUUAAUCGGAAUUACUGGGCGUAAAGCGCACGCAGGCGGUUUGUUAAGUCA